CCGCCGCGGCCCACGCAGCCGCCCGCCCACGCGACGCCCACGCCCCGUCCCCCCCUCACCGCAGCGGUCCCGGGUGGGGGGGAGCGGCGCGGCGCGGCCUCCGGCAGCGCGGGGCUCUGCGGCUCCCGCCGAAACCGGCAGCGGGCGCGGGGUGGGCGAGGCCGUGGGCCGCGCUGCCAAAGCGGGGCCGUCUCCCACCUGUGUUUUUAGCACCCGAGCGCCGGAGGCGUCACCUCCCCCCUGGCAGGGAGGCGUCGGUGAGGCACUUCAGGAGCUCCGGGUGCCUCCUUGCUCUGACACCAAAGUAAACGCGUGGUCUGGCCCGUUAUAAAUCACAGUCUUCGGGAACAUGCUGGAAGCCUCCUUUCUUGAUGGCCCUCUGACAACGGACGGCGAGAGGCGACCUGGCUGGAGGUGGUCAGCUCUUAAAAAUUUGUUUUGCAAUGCUGACAAAUUUUGCAAAAGCAGCGGCAAUGGAUUCCACUCUGGUUAAGACAGCCUUUACCUUUCCCAAACAUUUUAUUCUAACUCUGUACUUUGGGACCCAACCUUUUCAAGAUUUUAAUUAAAUGUAACCAGCAGAUAUCAAGAGUUACUGACGAGUCAAUAUUACUCUGAAACUCCGUAGUUACCUACAAUAAGGUAUGCCAGUGACUUCAAGGACUGCCUUGUCCAGCUGUGUCUCUUCAAACAAUACAUCACCAAGAGAGACAACACUGACUGACAUGCCUCCGGUCUAGAAGAAUUCAGUCAUUUUCCACUAAAUCCUCCAUAACUGCAUUGUUUUGUCUGCAGGUGUCUUUCCUAUAACUGUUACAGAAGUAUUAAAUUCUAGAAGAAAGCUCUUGCCUUUUUCACUGAAGCAUGUCCACUGCACAGGCUGUUCCCUUUACAAAAAAAAGUCAUCACUCCUUUCAGGUCUUACAUGAAGCUGCUCGUAAAUCUAGCCCAUCAGAGGAGAAAUGCUCUCUUUAUUCUGAUUUUCAAACCAAGAAAACAAGCAUUUGGUCACUUUGCAAUGAAUAUUAAUCAAAUGCUAUCCUAUUUGCCUUGAGUUUGGGAGAUGCAGAAAAUUAGUUCAG